GGAAUAUUGCGCAAUGGGGGAAACCCUGACGCAGCAACGCCGCGUGCGGGAUGACGGCCUUCGGGUUGUAAACCGCUUUCAGCAGGGAAGAACAUCGACGGUACCUGCAGAAGAAGCCCCGGCUAACUACGUGCCAGCAGCCGCGGUAAUACGUAGGGGGCGAGCGUUAUCCGGAUUUAUUGGGUUUAAAGGGUGCGUAGGCGGGCUGUUAAGUCAGCGGUCAAAUGUCGGGGCUCAACCCCGGCCUGCCGUUGAAACUGGCGGCCUCGAGUGGGCGAGAAGUAUGCGGAAUGCGUGGUGUAGCGGUGAAAUGCAUAGAUAUCACGCAGAACUCCGAUUGCGAAGGCAGCAUACCGGCGCCCUACUGACGCUGAGGCACGAAAGCGUGGGUAUCGAACAGG
rnacentral:rRNA from 1 species